rnacentral:rRNA from 1 species
ACCCGAAAGAUCGAAUGGGGAGACUCAACGUCAGCGGAGUUGGCUUCCUUGCGGUUCGCGAUGUUUGAGACGGUACGUUCUCGUAUUUGUCGAUUUCACGCGUCCGCUGUGGUAUGUCCGGCUACGUCGUCGUGCACUUCUCCUCUAGUAGAACGUCGCGACCCGCUGGAUGUCGGUUUAAGGGCCGAGAUCGUCGACUGUUCCGCGCGUUUCGGCGCACGGUUACAGACGCUCGGAUUCCCGACCGGCUGUUCGGCGGUACACGCAAGGUAUCGAGCCGCACACACUCGAAUGCGUUCAGACCCGUCACAAGCUCGACCAAUACACCGCAUUCUCGCGCUACCUGGAUGUGCGGACCUAGCGCCGUACCCGGGGUUGGUUGGCUGUUGGUUGACGGUGCUCUCGAACCGGCUUAAAACGUUGAUUAUAGAACGAUACCGGUCGGCGACGCUAUUGCUUUGGGUACUUUCAGGACCCGUCUUGAAACACGGACCAAGGAGUCUAACAUGUGCGCGAGUCAUUGGGACAAUUGAAACCUAAAGGCGCAUUGAAAGAAAAGAUCGGCCUCGCGUCGAUUGAGGGAGGAUGAGCGGCGUUCAGAGAUGAUGUGUCGUUCCGCACUCCCGGGGCGUCUCGUUGUCAUUGCGACUUGAGGCGCACCCAGAGCGUACACGUUGGGACCCGAAAGAUGGUGAACUAUGCCUGGUCAGGACGAAGUCAGGGGAAACCCUGAUGGAGGUCCGUAGCGAUUCUGACGUGCAAAUCGAUCGUCGGAACUGG